GGCUCUGUAGCUCAGGGGUCAGAGCAUUGGCCUUGUAAACCAGAGGUUGUGGGUUCAAAUCUCCCUGGAGCCU